UAGUCCACGCCGUAAACGAUGGGUACUAGGUGUUGUGGGUAUUGACCCCCGCAGUGCCGAAGCUAACGCAUUAAGUACCCCGCCUGGGAAGUACGGCCGCAAGGCUAAAACUCAAAGGAAUUGACGGGGGCCCGCACAAGCGGUGGAGCAUGUGGUUUAAUUCGAUGCAACGCGAAAAACCUUACCUAAGUUUGAACUCUCCGGACAACCCCAGAGAUGGGGCUUUCCCUUCGGGGACUGGAAGUAGAGGUGCUGCAUGGCUGUCGUCAGCUCGUAUCGUGAGAUGUCGGGUUAAGUCCCUUAACGAGCGCAACCCUUGUCCUUAGUUGCCAGCAUUUAGUUGGGCACUCUAAGGAGACUGCCGGUGUUAAACCGGAGGAAGGUGGGGAUGACGUCAAGUCCUCAUGGCCCUUACGCUUAGGGCUACACACGUGCUACAAUGGUCGGUACAGAGGGAUGCCAACCCGCAAGGGGGAGCUAAUCUCAGAAAGCCGGUCUCAGUUCGGAUUGGAGUCUGCAACUCGACUCCAUGAAGUUGG
rnacentral:rRNA from 1 species